rnacentral:rRNA from 1 species
UACAGAGGGGGCAAGCGUUAUUCGGAAUUAUUGGGCGUAGAGGGCGCGUAGGCGGCUUGGCAAGUGGAAGGUGAAAUCCCUCGGCUUAACCGAGGAACUGCCCUCCAAACUGCUUCGCUUGAGACCGGGAGAGGUGAGUGGAAUUCCCAGUGUAGCGGUGAAAUGCGUAGAUAUUGGGAGGAACACCAGUGGCGAAGGCGGCUCACUGGACCGGUACUGACGCUGAUGCGCGAAAGCGUGGGGAGCAAACGGG